rnacentral:ncRNA from 2 species
CAUUGUAACCGGGAGUGCUCGUGUGCCGAGCUGAGAUGUCCGCAAACGGACGGAUCCCUUGAACCUGUGAGUUAAUCCUCGCGAAGGGACGUUACGCUUAGCGCUG